rnacentral:rRNA from 1 species
UACGUAGGGUGCAAGCGUUAAUCGGAAUUACUGGGCGUAAAGCGUGCGCAGGCGGUUUUGUAAGUCUGUCGUGAAAUCCCCGGGCUCAACCUGGGAAUUGCGAUGGAGACUGCAAGGCUAGAAUCUGGCAGAGGGGGGUAGAAUUCCACGUGUGAGCAGUGAAAUGCGUAGAGAUGUGGAGGAACACCGAUGGCGAAGGCAGCCCCCUGGGUCAAGACUGACGCUCAUGCACGAAAGCGUGGGGAGC